rnacentral:rRNA from 1 species
GAGUUUGAUCGUGGCUCAGAUUGAACGCUGGCGGCAGGCCUAACACAUGCAAGUCGAGCGGAUGAAGGGAGCUUGCUCCUGGAUUCAGCGGCGGACGGGUGAGUAAUGCCUAGGAAUCUGCCUGGUAGUGGGGGUAACGUCCGGAAACGGGCGCUAAUACCGCAUACGUCCUGAGGGAGAAAGUGGGGGAUCUUCGGACCUCACGCUAUCAGAUGAGCCUAGGUCGGAUUAGCUAGUUGGUGGGGUAAAGGCCUACCAAGGCGGCGAUCCGUAACUGGUCUGAGAGGAUGAUCAGUCACACUGGAACUGAGACACGGUCCAGACUCCUACGGGAGGCAGCAGUGGGGAAUAUUGGACAAUGGGCGAAAGCCUGAUCCAGCCAUGCCGCGUGUGUGAAGAAGGUCUUCGGAUUGUAAAGCACUUUAAGUUGGGAGGAAGGGCAGUAAGUUAAUACCUUGCUGUUUUGACGUUACCAACAGAAUAAGCACCGGCUAACUUCGUGCCAGCAG